rnacentral:rRNA from 1 species
GGCGACCGGCGCACGGGUGAGUAACGCGUAUGCAACUUACCUAUCAGAGGGGGAUAACCCGGCGAAAGUCGGACUAAUACCGCAUGAAGCAGGGGCCCCGCAUGGGGAUAUUUGCUAAAGAUUCAUCGCUGAUAGAUAGGCAUGCGUUCCAUUAGGCAGUUGGCGGGGUAACGGCCCACCAAACCGACGAUGGAUAGGGGUUCUGAGAGGAAGGUCCCCCACAUUGGUACUGAGACACGGACCAAACUCCUACGGGAGGCAGCAGUGAGGAAUAUUGGUCAAUGGCCGAGAGGCUGAACCAGCCAAGUCGCGUGAGGGAUGAAGGUUCUAUGGAUCGUAAACCUCUUUUAUAAGGGAAUAAAGUGCGGGACGUGUCCCGUUUUGUAUGUACCUUAUGAAUAAGGAUCGGCUAACUCCGUGCCAGCAGCCGCGGUAAUACGGAGGAUCCGAGCGUUAUCCGGAUUUAUUGGGUUUAAAGGGUGCGUAGGCGGCCUUUUAAGUCAGCGGUGAAAGUCUGUGGCUCAACCAUAGAAUUGCCGUUGAAACUGGGGGGCUUGAGUAUGUUUGAGGCAGGCGGAAUGCGUGGUGUAGCGGUGAAAUGCAUAGAUAUCACGCAGAACCCCGAUUGCGAAGGCAGCCUGCCAAGCCAUUACUGACGCUGAUGCACGAAAGCGUGGGGAUCAAACAGGAUUAGAUACCCUGGUAGUCCACGCAGUAAACGAUGAUCACUAGCUGUUUGCGAUACACUGUAAGCGGCACAGCGAAAGCGUUAAGUGAUCCACCUGGGGAGUACGCCGGCAACGGUGAAACUCAAAGGAAUUGACGGGGGCCCGCACAAGCGGAGGAACAUGUGGUUUAAUUCGAUGAUACGCGAGGAACCUUACCCGGGUUUGAACGCAUUCGGACCGAGGUGGAAACACCUUUUCUAGCAAUAGCCGUUUGCGAGGUGCUGCAUGGUUGUCGUCAGCUCGUGCCGUGAGGUGUCGGCUUAAGUGCCAUAACGAGCGCAACCCUUGCCACUAGUUACUAACAGGUAAAGCUGAGGACUCUGGUGGGACUGCCAGCGUAAGCUGCGAGGAAGGCGGGGAUGACGUCAAAUCAGCACGGCCCUUACAUCCGGGGCGACACACGUGUUACAAUGGCGUGGACAAAGGGAAGCCACCUGGCGACAGGGAGCGAAUCCCCAAACCACGUCUCAGUUCGGAUCGGAGUCUGCAACCCGACUCCGUGAAGCUGGAUUCGCUAGUAAUCGCGCAUCAGCCAUGGCGCGGUGAAUACGUUCCCGGGCCUUGUACACACCGCCCGUCAAGCCAUGGGAGCC